rnacentral:rRNA from 1 species
UUAAUUGAAGAGUUUGAUCAUGGCUCAGAUUGAACGCUGGCGGCAGGCCUAACACAUGCAAGUCGAGCGGCAGCACAGAGGAACUUGUUCCUUGGGUGGCGAGCGGCGGACGGGUGAGUAAUGCCUGGGAAAUUGCCCGGUAGAGGGGGGAUAACCAUUGGAAACGAUGGCUAAUACCGCAUAACCUCGCAAGAGCAAAGCAGGGGACCUUCGGGCCUUGCGCUACCGGAUAUGCCCAGGUGGGAUUAGCUAGUUGGUGAGGUAAGGGCUCACCAAGGCGACGAUCCCUAGCUGGUCUGAGAGGAUGAU